GGACUCUGAGAUCAUGACCUGAGCUGAAGUCGGACGCUCAACUGACUGAGCCACCCAGGCUCUCCUGAUAGUAUUUAGCAUUCUAAAUAUAAUGUUUAGAAUUACUGCAAGGAACAGCUAGACAUGGUAUUAUAUGUUAAUGAUUGUAUAUUAAAUUAUAAAAAAUUGACUUAAACAUUGCUUAAAAUUUUAUACUGAUUUUUCCCCCAUUUUUUCAUCUGGAUGUCUGGGAAAGAAAAUCUUGAAUUUAAUGUCUAUACUGAAUAUUCCCCAAGCCAAGAAGAAAUAUAGUGAAACACAGUUGAGCUUCUUAAGUAGGUAAUGUGCUAAACCAAAGUGGUAAUCUAAUUCUGAAGAAGUUAUCAACAGCGAACACUGGAAAAUGGUGCCAAAGAGUAAAGCAUAUAGACAGAUUUCUCACCAGCUUUUAGAGCUAUCUAUAGUGUAUGUGGAAGUAAGAAUGACUUAAGUAAAUAUUAGUCUUAAGGUAUCAUUAUUUGUUAAAAAAUAUGAAAUGCUUUUAUUUAUUUUCAAUAGAAACAAUACCAUAUAUAAUUUGAUGAGCAAAGUACAUAAAUUGCAAAGAUUUUACAUGCUAAAUUCAAUGAUAAAACUCAGAGCAUAUAUAAAUAUAAUUUUCAGGGAUAAAAUUGAACCCAAUUGCUAAGGGGGAAUGAUCUACCUUCUAUUUAUAGUCUCAGUUUAUUGAUAUAAACUUCAUUUGGACCUGAGGUUUUUACCAAAGACUGCGUGCCAUAUAAUCUGCAGGGAUUUGCCUGCGAAAUGGACUGAGAAGCCAGCAAUGGCCUGAGGACACAGGGUAUGCCCUGUGUAGGUAGGCCUGUGGGGAGUACUGACCCUAUGCACUGGUGAGGAGCCAGCCACUCCUCAGCCCAGCCCAGCUCCUGCAAGUGUUGACUUAUUUCAUCUCCUUUCUAAGGACCUCAUCUGCCCCCAUGCCUUCACUGUCAGUUAGGUUCACAACCCCCAACUCUAAAUCCCCAACUCACUCAUAGAGACAAAAGCAGUAUGUAGUUUUAACAUUGUCAACAUUUUCUGCCUUGGGUCUCUCAACUCCAAAAUAUCCCCAAACACAUUCACUGCUCUGAAUACUGCUUCUACAUUAGUGCUUUUUGUUAUAUUUCUUGCUACCUAUAAACCUUUUUUAAAAAAAAUUCCGAUUCAUUCUUUCUCAAAUGUCAUAUCCAAUUAGUUUUAUAUUCUCUUUUUUUUACCUCUAAUCUUGUCUUUCUAUUUACAUAAUAAUUCCUCUAAUCCAGGCCCUUAUCUGUUAUAGAAAAUGAUAAAAAUCCCUUUAACUGGCCAUUCAACCCAGUGUCUCUCCCCUCAAAUUGAUAUUUUCUUUUGGUUAUUUCCCCCAAUACCAAGAUGAUUUUGCUUAAAACAAACAAACAAACAAACCCAUGAGUACCCAACAAACACCUUUGAUAGAUUUUCCUUGCUUAUAAAAUGAAAUCAGAUCUCUUCACAAUUGUUGAGUCAAUUUUUCUGGCUUCUCAUCCACAUCAUAUCUCUUAUGUCAUAUUAGAAAUCACUUACAUUUUCCAAAUAUUUCCAAAUAUUCCAUACACUUUGACACCUUCACACUCUUACCACUACUUAAAAUGAUCUUCCGUAUCUACUAACUCCAUCUGGUGAAACCACACUUAUAUUUUAAGAUUCAGGUAAAAAUCUUAUUUUUAUAUGAAAGCUUUCCUAAUCAUCCUGUCACCUCUGAUCCUAAAACAUUUUGCUUGUACCUUUAAAUAGUACUUGAUUUAUAUUAAAGUGACUUGCAUACCUAUCUUUAUCUUAUUCUUUUUUGUAUCAUUGGAGCUCAAUAUAUGCUCAAGCAAUUUUUAUUGAACUAAAUUAUUCAACUUAAAUCAGGAAGAAUGUGAUUAAAUGGAAUAUUCUUUCAGAAUUAUCUGAGUUUUAGAAAUAGGUGAGUGAAUGGUGAAAUCAGUUAUCUCUUUAGACUAAGGGCUAGCUCAGGUGAUAUAUUUACCCAAAGCCGUAGGGUUUAUUUCUAUGUUCCUAUUGAUGUCAAGUGAAUCUCACACUUUAGAUUUGUCUCAGUUAAUUUCUACAAGCAUUCCUUUAGUGGUUAAGAUGUAUUGUGAUUCUACUAUCCACUAAAUAAAAGUGACAAGUCUAUAGAGGUACACUCCCAAAGACAUUUGCUAGGGUCCUUGUUAGAGAUUUGUUAUUUGCAGGGAAAAAAAAGUUGCUGUGUGUGCUUUGUUAGAAUAACCCUCAUCUAAAAUACCUCCUGUUUAUAGGCAUAAUUUUGCACACAAUUCAGGAAAAUAAAAACCCAAGCAACUACCCAAUCAAACAUAUAAAAACAAUAACAACAGCUACAAAAUAAGGCCUCCCCCAUACACACUGCUCUUUUAUGAAUCACACAAAUAUCAGAAGAAAAAUAACGUAUUUUCCCUAAUAUCUCAGAUACAGUCCCAUCCCUUCUACAUCACUUUCAGUUGUGAGUAUUGUCUCUUUAGAUGAAAUAGUAGGGUCAAGCCUUUUGCCAUAUUUGAAAGACUGACACCAUUCUCUUCAGCAGAUUUUGAACACAAUGUAAAAUCUCUCUACAGUGUGACAAUUGACAUUUUUCAGCACAGAAGAAGCCAUUACCAUCUGUCAUGUGACUGCUCUGAGGAUAAUGAGAAACCUCGGACAUGUGGGUUGGAAAGAAAUGACUUUAUUCCAAGUAAAAUAAAUCUAAAUAAUACAAAUGCAGUGGGAGUGUUGCUAAAUAUUUCUGGAGACUCUUGAGGCGCUUUGGGAGAAAAUGAAUCAUGUUGGUAAUAAUUUUUGCUUCUCUUUCUCUUAACUCUGCCAAUUUAAAAAUAUCGUACAGGCAGGACCUGUGUUUUAAACUCUACCUGUACUUCCAGAAGGGUGUCCUCAGGGCUUUGCCUGCAGGGAGGUCACCUGGAGUCAAUGCAAAUCAAGCCUGUUGCCUCUUCGGCAGCAGGUUACCUCCAGGACCCUUGCGGCACAGGCAGAUUUUAGAACAGCAGAAGCACGACCAAUGUGUUGAAACAAAACAAAAUAAGGUUGUUUAUUACCCUGUUUAAAAGGAGGGCAAUAUUUUUCUCUCAGUCUUUAACCCUCUGCUCCUGCCCAACCAGUGUGAUCUCUGAACGAGCAGGCUGUGUUCGCAAGGAGUUGCACUGGGUUGAGUUAAAGGAGGACAGAGUCUUCGCUCUGAAGUUCUGCCUUCUGUCAGACCUUUUAAUGUAAUCUUAACAUCCAUUCUUUUUAAUAAUCUUUUGUCCAAUAGACAUAAAUAAAGCAUAAAUAUGUGUCUCACUGCAAUGAAUUAGUUUUCUAACAGAAGGAAUCCUUGCCAAGAUUCUGCAGCGAUCUGGUCAAUGUAGAUAAUGUGGUACAUUAGAGCAGAAGCUGGCAGUUCAUUGUUCUAUGAAUAGAUAUAGAUUUAGUAUUUAUGGGAGCCUUUGAAUAGGAUGAAACAAAGCAAGGAGUAGCCAACGGUUCUAUGUGGGUUUGAUUUUAGCUAGUAAUUUCCUAUCAGGUCAGUAAAUCUUUUGUUAGCACUAACAACAAUUUGUGCUCAAAUAUCAAAAAGUAAUACACUUUUCUUUUCACGUGUACUUUUGCUUAAAACACUAUUAAUUAUAUAUAAAUGUAUAUUAUAUAUAAAUGUAAAUGAAUAAAUCUGUGUAUAUAUAAAUAUAUAAUUGAAAGCCCUAUUUUCACUCUGUUCAUUAAUUUAAUUUAAUUUUUUCUUGAGUAGGGGGGAAAUGUUUGCUUUGUGUUUUCUCUGGGAAAGUUAAAUCACCUGAAGUUAUCGAAAGGCAUUGACAAUAAGAAUGGGAGUCUUGUGUUCUGGUCUUGUUGUGGCCCUUAGCUUACUAUUUGACUUUGGACAAGUCACUUUCUCAAGUUUAUAGUUCCUUGUCUGUAUUUGAAGAUUUGGGAUCCCAUGAUCACCAAAGUUCCUUUCGGCUCUAUAAUUCAGUGUAAAAAACAUUAAGAUAAUAAUCCUGUCUUUCAUCAUCCUGAGUUGGUUAUACAAGGCAUAAGGUUUCCGUGUUUUCUUGCCAGAAUUCAGUAGCUGAUUUGAAUUGUCCGUGUCUUCUAAAUGAUUGUUCACUUUCCUCUUUUGUCUUGAUGUUCUUUCAGGGUCAAAGCUUGAACAUCAGCAGCACAAAAUGUCUCUCAAUAGCUCCUAAGCCCGAAGUCCAAAGCUUUUCUGAUUCCUGGAAGUUUUGAGAGAACUGCUCAACAACAAAACCAGUACUCUGGAGCAGAGCUGUGCUAUUACCUGCCAUGAAAUGAACAUAUGGAAAGUGCUUAAGUGAAUGCUUAGCCCUUUACUGGAUCACAAAACUGGCCAAUCAGUGGAGAUUCUUUUCCCCUAAAGUCUUGGAGGAGAAAACCAUUACAUUGUGCCUACUAGUGUCAGAUGGCUGAUGGUACAGACGGUUGGACUGAGAAAUGGUCUCCAUCCUUUGCACACUCCAUGAGGUCAGUUGACUGUCAGCACAUGAACACAACCCCUUGUCUAGAGAUGUUAUUAUGAGCAAGAAGUACAGAGAUUUCAUGAAACCCAGGAGGGCUUUCUGAAGAGCAUUGUAUGAAGCCCCAACAAAAGUUGUCCCAGCAAAAUUUCCCAUACCAAUUAAAUAUGCCACAGAUGGCUUACAUGGAGAUUAACCUCUGGGUUUAAGGCACAACCAGAUGGAAAUGAGCCUUGUUGCAAAGAGGGGGCUUUUGUUUGUUUUGUCUGGCUAAUUUUGGCACCACAUUUUUGAAGUUGGUAACCAGAGAGCAAGCAACCAGUUUCACAGAAGCACAAUUUGAGGUAAAUAACUUUUCUUUAUAUUUGUCAGUGGUUUGACUUAUUACAUUUUAUGUAAACCUAUUUUAAUAAAAUGACAGAAGCAAACAAAAUGUAGUAUAUACGAUUAGCAAAGAUUUUUGGAUGUGUUACAUACAUAGAAUGGAAAGGAAUAAAGAGAAUCAGCUUGUUACUCAGGAAAAACGGCAGUUUCACCCAAUUUGAACAAAAGAGUUUUGUAGAGAAAGAGAAAGCAAGAGAACUGUUAGAUGUGCUUAAUGGGUUGUAUCCUUUUAACCAAGAACAAAAAGACAUGUGACCGUGUAGCCUUGAAUCUUUGGUCAGAGCUGCAAAGAGCCCUACUCCAGGUGAAUUUAUCAGUAGGACUCCACUCUAUGGUAAUAGCAUUAUGAGGAGUAAAUUUAGAGUAAAUGAAUUCAAAAGUAUUUAAAGCUAUGGCUUCCUCUAAAGAGUUUGUGAAGGUUCUUGAUGAAAACACUGAUGACAUUGGGUCAACGAAUAGGGUUUAUGUGUAAAAUUGUUUGAAUCUGUGACAUGUGAACUUCUGGGGAGUGCUGAAUUGUUGCCUCUCCCACUGAUUAGAUAAAUACAAAUAAACAAAUAUUAUAUGGUUGCUUAUCCACAUUGUUUCAUCAGUGCCACAGAUCAUCAUUUCUUGGAUGAAAGCCCCAGCCAAAGCUAGGGUAUGGACAAUGUGGGCUCUUGUCAUACCCUCUAGUCAUUCUAAGAUUUCCUGGUAGUCUAUUUUUUGGAUUAUUUACCCUACCCUUAUAAUUGACCAAAGAACAUGCAUCAGCCCAGGGAGGGAAACAGAGACUUGGUAUGCUUAAAGUCUUUAGUGCAUCUUACUCUGGAUGGUGAUUGAUGGUGCCAGCUAGUUUAGAAAUUUGCUGAUAGAUUUUUCUGUAGUUCAUGCGUUGGCCACCUGUUUUAAUGAUAGAAAAGCUCUCAAAGAAGAUGAUUUUCAGGGACUUGGGGGAUUGGGGUAGGGAGCUGAGAUCACUAGGACACUGUGAAAAACUCCAAGGUUUGGUGUCUUCUCAUUUUGAUUAUCUUUCCUUCCCAAUCUUAUGAAGAACCUCUCCCUGAUCCUCAGGAACACUGUGUUUCCCAUUUACUGUUUAAAAAUGUGUUUUUUUUCUACUUAAAGUUGCCAGUUCAGCAUGUUGGUUUAUCUCAGAAGAAUAUAAAUUUAAGUAGGACCACAUUCUGAGGAUUUCAUGAACUUACUCCUUCAAGGUAUAUUUUAUAUUUAAAAGAUGGUAUUCAUUAAUCUAAGCAAAUCUCUAUUUGAGCAGUAGGGCAGAGAUUUUUGAGCAUAGGGAUCUGUGUGUAUUUCUUUUCUAACCACAUUUGCCAUUCUCUUAUAUCUUUUAACUAUCAAGAAUAAGAGUCUUACCAAAUACUUCACUCCUGAAAGGCUGCCGACCUUCUCAGUAGAUGGAAAAUGUUUUCUCCCAAAGGCAUGUAGUUCUCAUUGGUGUUUCUACCAUUCUGUCACCUACCUGAGUUCUAAACCAAAUGAAAGCUACACAAAGAGUUCAGUCAAAGAGAAAUAAAAGUAUCUGUUUCAAUAGUAAUAGAACUAAUGGAAAACAGGAUUCAGGCAUAUGACUAAUAUGUGCCCCAGAAUUAGAGAGACCUAUCCACCCAGUCAGAGACAGCCUGGAAAACCACAAUCUUGCCUACAAGAAUAUUUUCUUUACCACUAGCUUCCUACAAGUGGAGAAUUGAUCUAACCAUAUGCUCUCUGAAAGUAGGCUGAUCCCAAAGAGAGGAGGAGAGGGGAAGGUUUGAGCUCCUCAUCACAUGUUUCCUCCUCCCAAAUUUAACAGUUUCCAGAAUUCCAUUCCCAUAGCUGACCAUAUAGUUUGUGAGGUCCAGUACAAAAUGAAAAGGCAGAACUCUUUGUUCAAAAAUUUUUUAUGAACUUCAAGAUGGUGACAGAGUAUUAAGUCAAAUGUAGGCCCUUCCAAGUGUCGAACCCUUUGCAACUAUACAGGCUGUGAAUUCAUGAAGCCAGCCCUGUUCAUUUCUUAUCUGGGAUACAGAAUAAGGAAGUGGAGGGAAUACAAGAGUGUACUAUCUUCAUUUCCACCCAAAUUGACAAACAAAUCAAGUGUAAAUGAGGUUCCCUUAAAAAAUAACAUUUCCAAGUCUCUUUUCUCAUAUCCCUUAGGUUUAACCAGCAAGUCCAUGAUCCACUGGGGAGUGGAUAUAUCUAUGAGAGUAGGAGAGCAAUGAUCUCAUCAGGGAGUUCUUGCUCUCAUAGCCAUAAGCCUACUCUUUUAGUACCAACCACUGUCACUUUAUUGAUCCUUUUGGCAUACAGUGAAGACUUUACUUAAGAAGCCUAGGAAAUAGGUCAGAAUCAUACAAUCAUAAUCAUACUACAUUAUUCCAUACUACUAAGGGAUAAUGGACCCCUUAGACCAGAGGAAGAACACUGGUUAUUUUAAAAUUUAUCACUGAGAGGCAUCCAGGAGGGAGAGAGUGCAGUUUUUCUGAUAAAUAAAAUGUGAAUGCAGUCACUUACUUUAAAUAUUAAAUAAUGUUUUUAUUAGUUACAAAUAGAAAUCAUGUGUGGGGUCUAUUAAUGAAAGCCUUUUUAAUCAACUUAUGCUUACUCACUUUAGUCUUCUUCCUGAUGAUGUAUCGCCAAUUGUAUUUCAAGCAUUUCAUCCCUGCCCCUUAUCUGCAUUCUUGCUCUCGGGGAAAAAAAUCAAGAUUUCUUCAUCUCACCUUCACGGCACCCUCCUGCAUCUUUUGUGGCAGGGCUGAGUCCCAAGCCUGGGUCAUAAAGGGGGAGUCACAGUUGCAAUGAUUCCUUGUUGCCAGUAUGCUGUCCUAGAGGCAGGAGAGAUGUGUUCAGUUGGGAGAGUGAAUCAAUUCAUGAUGAAUUCAGAAGCCUCUGACCUUGACCCUCUACUGCAUUAUCCAGGGAAGUCUUGGAGUGGCUAAUGGUGAUGUGGUGAAGAGGUGAACAGGGGUAACUCCUAUCCACUGAGCCCUUAGAACAUCUGUUGCAUAAAAAAUAAAAUGUAGCUGAUGAUGUUUUUAUUAUAGUCAAAAAUAAUUCUUUUUCUAUAAGAAAGAAGUCAGUGCAAGGGAAAUGCUACUCCUCAUGAACUAUUAAGGCCUGUGCUCUUCUAUAUUCAAAUCAGUUGAUAAUAUUUACAGUUUUGUUGAUAAAUUCUUACCAGUUUUAUAGCAUGAGGAAUGACCCUAUACAUUCUAAACCAAUUCCACAUGAGUUUAAGCAGAUUUAAUGCGUGACCAUGGAACAAACACCAUAGUUCCAAAUGUUCACUAAUAGAAUUUCCUUUAAAUAAGUUUAGGAUUCAAAAGCUUUCCAUCUUUGCACUUCCUUCUUCAUGUUUUUUUCAUUUUCUAUAGAAAGAUACAAUGAGAACCUCCAAAAAAUGUGAAUGUAGGAAAAAUAGCUAGAUAUGACGCAUAAGAAUAUUGGCUAUAAAUAGUUAUUGAUAUUGUCAAAACUAUAGUAUCAAAACAAACAAGCUCAUUACCAAACUGUGUUUAAAUUAAACAUUUUCUUACACAAGGAUAUGAAGGUUUUCAAUCUCCCUUGAUCUUCUUUCUCACUAUCUGCCUUUCAUCAAGGCCAACAAA